rnacentral:rRNA from 1 species
AGAGUUUGAUCCUGGCUCAGAACGAACGCUGGCGGCAUGCUUCAUACAUGCAAGUCGCGCGAUUAAACCCCGCAAGGGGAUAUAAAGCGGCGAACGGGUGAGUAGAAGGUGGAUAAUCUGCCUUUCGGUGGGGGAUAACGGCUGGAAACGGCCGCUAAUACCGCAUGCGAUUGCCGGGCCUGCGGGCCUGGCAAGGAAAGGGGCUUCACGGCCUCGCCGAGAGAUGAGUCCGCCCCCCAUUAGCUAGUUGGCGGGAUAAUAGCCCACCAAGGCGACGAUGGGUAGCCGAGCUGAGAGGUCGAUCGGCCACACUGGAACUGAGAUACGGUCCAGACUCCUACGGGAGGCAGCAGUGGGGAAUCUUGCGCAAUGGGCGAAAGCCUGACGCAGCAACGCCGCGUGAGCGAAGAAGGCCUUCGGGUUGUAAAGCUCUGUCAGGGGGAAAGAAGGCACCUGGGUUAAUAGCCCAAGGGCUGACGGUACCUCCAAAGGAAGCCACGGCUAACUACGUGCCAGCAGCCGCGGUAAUACGUAGGUGGCGAGCGUUGUCCGGAAUUAUUGGGCGUAAAGAGCGCGUAGGUGGUUUGUCAGGUCUGAUGUGAAAACCUGGGGCUCAACCCCGGGCCUGCAUCGGAAACCGGCUUGCUAGAGUCUGGGAGAGGAGAGUGGAAUUCCUGGUGUAGCGGUGAAAUGCGUAGAUAUCAGGAGGAACACCGGUAGCGAAGGCGGCUCUCUGGAACAGUACUGACGCUGAGGCGCGAAAGCUAGGGGAGCAAACAGGAUUAGAUACCCUGGUAGUC